rnacentral:rRNA from 1 species
AAUUCGAUUAGAGUUUGAUCCUGGCUCAGAACGAACGCUGGCGGCAGGCCUAACACAUGCAAGUCGAACGCACCUUCGGGUGAGCGGCGGACGGGUUAGUAACGCGUGGGAACGUGCCCAGAUCUAAGGAAUAGCCACUGGAAACGGUGAGUAAUACCUUAUACGCCCUUCGGGGGAAAGAUUUAUCGGAUUUGGAUCGGCCCGCGUUAGAUUAGAUAGUUGGUGGGGUAAUGGCCUACCAAGUCUACGAUCUAUAGCUGGUUUUAGAGGAUGAUCAGCAACACUGGGACUGAGACACGGCCCAGACUCCUACGGGAGGCAGCAGUGGGGAAUCUUGGACAAUGGGCGCAAGCCUGAUCCAGCCAUGCCGCGUGAGUGAUGAAGGCCUUAGGGUCGUAAAGCUCUUUCGCCAGAGAUGAUAAUGACAGUAUCUGGUAAAGAAACCCCGGCUAACUCCGUGCCAGCAGCCGCGGUAAUACGGAGGGGGUUAGCGUUGUUCGGAAUUACUGGGCGUAAAGCGCACGUAGGCGGACUGGAAAGUUGGGGGUGAAAUCCCGGGGCUCAACCCCGGAACUGCCUCCAAAACUAUCAGUCUAGAGUUCGAGAGAGGUGAGUGGAAUUCCGAGUGUAGAGGUGAAAUUCGUAGAUAUUCGGAGGAACACCAGUGGCGAAGGCGGCUCACUGGCUCGAUACUGACGCUGAGGUGCGAAAGUGUGGGGAGCAAACAGGAUUAGAUACCCUGGUAGUCCACACCGUAAACGAUGAAUGCCAGUCGUCGGG